UUGACCUUAAAGGAAAACAAAGAAGACUUAAAUCAGAUGCUGUACCAAGUCUGUUUACAUGGAAAAACUUCCAAUGUGGAAAAGAAAGAAAUCAGCCUGCAGUUCGCCAUCCCAUGUCACAAGCAAAUGCCAACACAAAUCAGAGUGAAAACGUGGACACAGAGACUGCAACAGCAGACGCAGAGCCUGCAACAGAGGCUAUUAAUUAUUAUGAUGAGCAAGAGUAAUUAUCAUGUAUGACUACAUAGAUGUGUGUGUAUCAUUUAUGACAACAUAGAUGUGUGUGUAUAUAUAUAAUGCAUGCUAAAUUAUUGCUCAUUAUACUCCGAAUGCAAAAAUUUGGAAUCAUUUCUUACAGAAUAAACAAAUAAUGAAAU